rnacentral:rRNA from 1 species
CCUACGGGGGGCUGCAGUGGGGUAUAUUGGACAAUGGGGGGAACCCUGAUCCAGCCAUGCCGCGUGUGUGAAGAAGGCCCUCGGGUUGUAAAGCACUUUCAGUGAGGAAGAACGCCUGGUGGUUAAUACCCAUCAGGAAAGACAUCACUCACAGAAGAAGCACCGGCUAACUCCGUGCCAGCAGCCGCGGUAAUACGGAGGGUGCGAGCGUUAAUCGGAAUUACUGGGCGUAAAGCGCGCGUAGGUGGCUUGAUAAGCCGGUUGUGAAAGCCCCGGGCUCAACCUGGGAACGGCAUCCGGAACUGUCAAGCUAGAGUGCAGGAGAGGAAGGUAGAAUUCCCGGUGUAGCGGUGAAAUGCGUAGAGAUCGGGAGGAAUACCAGUGGCGAAGGCGGCCUUCUGGACUGACACUGACACUGAGGUGCGAAAGCGUGGGUAGCAAACAGGAUUAGAUACCCCAGUAGUC